UAAUGCUAAGAAGUUUUGUUGAAGAUCUAUAUAAGUGCAAAUAAUUGAAACAAAUAAACAAGACAUAGUAGUUUCAUUACAUAAAGUGACCAAUACAUUUGCAAAUUUUGAAGAAAAAAUAUGGCUGAAAUUUUAAAGUUUAUUUAUUUAAUAAUUCUCUUCAUUUCCUUAUUUCUUGUUGUAACUGACGUUACUGGUAAAUAAAUUUUGUACUCUUUUGAAUUUUUUUAUUUAUCUUAUAUACUACAAAAUAACUCACCUCUUUCAGGAACUUUUUUUUUAUUACAGCAGCAAGGGUCUUGGUAAACUGCAAGGAUACAAUUGAUUGUUCCCGGUGGUUUUGUAAAUCUCCUUUAGUUCCAAAAUGCAUUUCUUUUAAAUGCAAGUGUGUGGAAAUAAAAGUAAACUCGGUCGAUUGGGCUGAAUUUUCACUAUAGUACAAUAGUAGUUACUAUAGUGAUUAUUCUUGAACUUACAACUUGAGGCUUCUAGUGUCCAAAUAAAAUAUCAUAGUGUUUCAGCUACUAAUUAUUUUCCAUAUUUAUGUGCAACUUUUGUUUUCUAACUUUCCUGGAGUAUUUCGUAGGCUCUAAAAUGAGUUAUUUCAAUAAAAAUUUGUUGAUUAAAAAAAGUAUGAAUAGAUAGAGAAAAACACUAUUAUAAUAAAUAACAGUAUUUUUUAAGCUCAUUUUAUAACUAUCCUAGAUGAAAUUUUAACUUCAUCCUUUAAAAUUACAAUAUCAAUUUUUUACGAUAUUUACAUUAAAAAGAAAUACAUUUUGGAAGUAAAGGAGGUACACACAAAAACCGAGGACAGUCGUAAUCAUCUCUGCACUUUUGGCCCCGCAUUUCUGUAGUAUAAAAAAAACAAAUAUAUUACUAAAAAUGGUGAAUUAUUUUGUAUAUGAUAAACAUGAAAAUUCAAAAGGAUACAAGAAUUUGUUUACCUGUAAUGUUAGCUACAACAACAAAUAAAGAAAUAGAUAGGAUUAAUAAAUAAACAAACUUAAUAAUUUCACCCAUAUGUUUUGUUUGAAUAAACUUGCAACAAAAUAAAAAUGUAUUGAUAACUUUAUCUUGUAAUAUGUAUUGUUUAUUUGUUUCAACCUUUUGCACUUCUGGCUCUUCAAGAAAACUUCUUAGAGUUAGAGUCGUUUUUAAAUGUUUCAUUUUUCAUGUUUGCCUGUUUAGCUUGCUCAAUCGAUAAGGGCAACAACAAUUCAUUAUUUUCCUUUUUUAAUGUCUAGCCUUUUAUGAUAUAUGGGGAAAAAAAAAGAAAAACAUCAAAUUAAAUAAAAAUAGAAAAAACACAAGAAAAAAUAGUUCAAUUGUUUUUUUCUUAAAAAAAACCAAAUUUUCUAAAACAUAUGUUACCAUAUUAAAGUAGACAUUAUAAGUUAAGUAUUGCGGCUUGAUUUGAUUUGGUUUUCUAAAAUGAAAAUCGCAAACAAAACCGCGCGGUUUAGAAGAAAAAACUAAAUGCG
rnacentral:lncRNA from 1 species